GAUGAACGCUAGCGGCAGGCUUAACACAUGCAAGUCGAGGGGCAGCGCGAUGUAGCAAUACAUUGGCGGCGACCGGCGCACGGGUGCGUAACACGUAUGGAACUUACCCUUUACUGGGAGAUAGCCCGGAGAAAUCCGGAUUAAUAUCCCAUAAUAAACGAGGUGGCAUCACUUUGUUUUGAAAGCUCCGGCGGUAAAGGAUGGCCAUGCGCACGAUUAGCUAGUAGGUGAGGUAACGGCUCACCUAGGCUACGAUCGUUAGGGGGCCUGAGAGGGUUAUCCCCCACACUGGUACUGAGACACGGACCAGACUCCUACGGGAGGCAGCAGUGAGGAAUAUUGCGCAAUGGAGGCAACUCUGACGCAGCCAUGCCGCGUGCAGGAAGAAGGCGCUACGCGUUGUAAACUGCUUUUAACCGGGAAGAAACCCCAGGACGUGUCCUGGGUUGACGGUACCGGAGGAAUAAGCACCGGCUAACUUCGUGCCAGCAGCCGCGGUAAUGUG
rnacentral:rRNA from 1 species